GAUGAACGCUGGCGGCGUGCUUAACACAUGCAAGUCGAACGGAAAGGCCAGUGCUUGCACUGGUACUCGAGUGGCGAACGGGUGAGUAACACGUGGGUGAUCUGCCCUGCACUUCGGGAUAAGCCUGGGAAACUGGGUCUAAUACCGGAUAGGACAAUGGUUUGGAUGCCGUUGUGGAAAGUUUUUUCGGUGUGGGAUGAGCUCGCGGCCUAUCAGCUUGUUGGUGGGGUAAUGGCCUACCAAGGCGUCGACGGGUCGCCGGCCUGAGAGGGUGUACGGCCACAGUGGGACUGAGAUACGGCCCAGACUCCGACGGGAGGCAGCAGUGGGGAAUAUUGCACAAUGGGCGCAAGCCUGAUGCAGCGACGCCGCGUGGGGGAUGACGGCCUUCGGGUUGUAAACUCCUUUCGCUAGGGACGAAGCGUAUUUGUGACGGUACCUGGAGAAGAAGCACCGGCUAACUACGUG
rnacentral:rRNA from 1 species